GGACAGUGCCUGAAAAAAGACAGACAGAGAGGACGAGGCUGCAGCUCGGCUCGGCUCUGUCCGUGGUGUCAUCCGCUGACCACGCUGACCGAGCCACUCCAGCAUUUUUCUUUGGUAUUUUUUUUCUUGGGGCGACACCGGAUUACUCCUCCCGUUCGCGCCCUCUCUCUUGGAGGGAAGCCUGGUUGGGAGCGCGCACGCCUCGCGCAUGCCUCUCUCCUCUCCGACUGGAUUUAUCAGAGCUAUCUCUCAUCAGCGGGAUCCACAAGUUGAACUUUCCCCCCCCCCCCCUCCUCCCUCCUCCCUCCUCCCUCCUCUCCAGACUCAACUUUUCUCUGGCUUCUUUUGUUUUCUUUCUCUCCUUUUUUUUUGAGAACAAACUGAAAUGACUAAAAGCUCAAACUGGAUUCCCUUUGCAAGCAGAGCCCUUGUGGCGACACUCUCGUUUUCACCUGCCUCUGUGGGCAGAGAAAAGGUGAUGUGUCCAGACAGUGCCUGCAUGUUCAGAAGGUGUCAAGAGUUUAUGAUGAUUUUUUAUUUUUUUUAUUUUUGUUAUUUUCUGGCACAAAUCCAACUGACUUGCCAGCUGUGACGAGAUGGCCUAAAGUGUUUGCUGUCAUCAGCUGAGGGGAGAGAACGAGAGCCAAAGAGCGAAACUAACCCAACCCAACGCAGGCAGGCAGGCAGGCAGGCAGGCAGCUCGCGAACAGCUAAAGGCUGUGAGGGAGUGAGCGAGCGAGCCAGUGAGUGAGUGAGGAGUCCAGGGGUAGAGCUGCGUCAGGCAUGAAGCACCUGGGACGCUUGCCAGCUCCUGACAAAAGCCUCCACCACACGCUCCACUCGCAGAGACGCCGUCAAGCCCUCACUCCUGGACACCUCGCAAAUCCCGGACAUUGUCGUGGAGAUCGCUGGCAUGGUCGGCUGACAAGAGAUGUCGGACAUUUUUAUUCAUUGUUCUGCAGAGUAGCUGCCAGGCCAUUGACCAUUGAGAGACGGCUUGAUUGCUGGCUUAGUCCUGGCUGGAUGAUGACUGGAUGAUGGCUCACUCUUGCCUAAUUGACAGCUGUUCUUGAGGCUGAGGUAGUAGAUUGAAUAGUUGUGGGGUGCGAUCCUCCCUCUGAGAUAACUAUACAAUCUACUGUCUUUCCUAAAGAGACAGACUGACCUCCAGGCUUACCACUCACCACAUCUGUUGGAACGUCCAGGACACAGGCAGAAAUUCAUAUCCAAAUAUGUAACAUCAAUGAUGCUGCCCAUAUUAAACAUUAUCUAGUAACUUUA